rnacentral:lncRNA from 1 species
AACUUGCAAAUUAGACCCCGUUCUCUUAGGGUUUGAGUUGUCUUUGCACAAAAGUGCUGAGAAGGGGCCGUUGGUGUCUGGCAAGGUAUUUUCCUCUCCAUGUCGCAAAGCUACAGGAAAAGGGGACAGGGGUAGAGAGCACUAUCUGGUAACUGAGCUGAGAGGAAACCUAAGACUUGAGCUCUAGAACCUUCAGAUAUUCACAUUCCAUUCCCUACAUAAUAGAGAUCUACCUAAGCCCCAUCUCUCGCAGGGCAAGCCAGGGGAAUGAAUGCCUCUCUCAGCAGGAGCCAAGAGAGCAGCGAAGCUUCAGUCCACGGACGCACCUGCCUGGCGCUUGGGUCCUAGGCGCGUUGCUCCACCUGGAUCACCGGCACCAUCCCCAGUGCCUGCCUUCUCCUGUCAUGCCUCCAGGUGGAGUAGAAGGAGCUCGGGCACUCUUACACAGCUGAGGAUGCGAUCAUACUUCUCUGUGGUAUGCAAGACUCUGUCCCUGCCCUGAGGAGUUUAUUUGCUGGACACAAGGCAGAGGAGAAGGUAGGGUGGCUUAUUCCAGUCUAAGUGAGGGCAUCCACCGCCCAUCCCACAGCCGUCCAGAGGAAGGGGACUGGAAAUAGAACAGGGGCUGUACAAUACUCAUCCGCACACACUGAGCACUGCCAGAGGCCGUGCCAACAUAACCCAGUCCAAGCCCAUACCAUGCCCUGCACGACAGCCAGUACCUCAAGAGACAAGGAAUUGGGGCAAGGGAGGGGGCUUUGUUUUGGAGAGCAACCGAGAAGGUGGUAGACUAGUGUCCUGAAGAACCAUCUGAAGUAACUAUGAGUUUCUGGGCUUUCUUUUAUGUGGGAGGAGAGAGGGCGUUGAGGUUAGGAAGUGACCGAUGACCGUGGACAUAUGGCCAGCAGCGAGGGUCCAAGGGGGCUGGAGACGUCUUUGUCCUUGGUCGGGUCCCAGUGCUCACGUGCAUUUUUAACACACAGUGUUGCUCAUGGGACGCCCUCCUUAUCUCCCUGGGGGUGAGUGUUGGGAAGGGACUGUGGUCUUCCCUGCUUUAAUCUAGAAACGAAAGUCCUCCCACAGUUAGCUUGGCAUAUGUGCAGAGAUCAGCAAAAGUAGUUAACCUAGAAGAUGUCACCACAGGGGGUGGGUUAGGAGCAAAACAGCUUGUCACGUGAGGCCUUCUUUUCACUGCUCCACCAAGGGCACGUUCUCACCUUCCCCUCUAUAUACACUCCUGUAACCCCCAUCUUGCCAGGAAGCUGCACGCGUCCCCAGGUCUGCCCAAAUCCACCGGGAUUUCCUGGAGGACAUGGAGUUCAUGCUGGACCUUGACCCAGAGAUGAAUGAGGCAGAGGAUGGAGGGGACUCCAGGUUAGGCCCAGUACAGGACCACGUGGGAAUGAGACCAGCUUAGGCCUCUGCAUAGAACCACCAGGUCCAUGGCUCCAGUCUUGUCCCUUAUGUCAUCCCCAUCCCU